rnacentral:rRNA from 1 species
AGAGUUUGAUCAUGGUCAGGAUGAACGCUGGCGGCGUGCCUAACACAUGCAAGUCGAACGUGAUAUAUAGAUGAUUUCGGUCUGAAAUAUAUCAUAGUGGCGGACGGGUGAGUAACGCGUGAUAACCUGCCCCGUACUGGGGGAUAGCAGCUGGAAACGGCUGGUAAUACCGCAUAAGCGACGAGGGGGCCUCCCCCUGUGUGAAAAGAUUCAUCGGUACGGGAUGGGUCCGCGUCUGAUAGCCAGUUGGCGGGGUAACGGCCCACCAAAGCGACGAUCAGUAGCCGGCCUGAGAGGGUGACGGCCACAUUGGGACUGAGACACGGCCCAGACUCCUACGGGAGGCAGCAGUGGGGAAUAUGCACAAUGGGCGAAAGCCUGAUGCAGCGACGCCGCGUGAGUGAAGAAGUAUUUCGGUAUUAAAGCUCUAUCAGCAGGGAAGAAAGGCCCAUUAAGGGAGAUGACGGUACCUGACUAAGAGCCCCGGCUAACUACGUGCCAGCAGCCGCGGUAAUACGUAGGGGGCAAGCGUUAUCCGGAUUACUGGGUGUAAAGGGAGCGCAGACGGCAGCGCAAGUCUGAUGUGAAAUCCCGGGGCUCACCCCGGAACUGCAUUGGAAACUGCGCAGCUCGAGUAUC